rnacentral:rRNA from 1 species
GGGGCAAUAGAAUGGCAAGUCGAACGGACUUAACUCAUUCUUUUAGAUUGAGAGCGGUUAGUGGCGGACUGGUGAGCAAUACGUAAGCAACCUGCCUAUCAGAGGGGAAUAACAGUGACAAAUCAUUGCUAAUACCGCAUAAGCUAGUAGUAUCGCAUGAUAUAGCUAGAAAAGGAGCAAUCCGCUGAUAGAUGGGCUUGCGUCUGAUUAGCUAGUUGGUGGGGUAACGGCCUACCAAGGCGACGAUCAGUAGCCGGACUGAGAGGUUGAACGGCCACAUUGGGACUGAGAUACGGCCCAGACUCCUACGGGAGGCAGCAGUCGGGAAUAUUGCGCAAUGGAGGAAACUCUGACGCAGUGACGCCGCGUAUAGGAAGAAGGUUUUCGGAUUGUAAACUAUUGUCGUGAGGGAAGAAAUUGACAGUACCUAAGGAGGAAGCCCCGGCUAACUAUGUGCCAGCAGCCGCGGUAAUACAUAGGGGGCAAGCGUUAUCCGGAAUUAUUGGGUGUAAAGGGUGCGUAGACGGGUGUUUAAGUUGGUUGUGAAAUCCCUCGGCUCAACUGAGGAACUGCAACCAAAACUGGAUAUCUUGAGUGUCGGAGAGGAAAGUGGAAUUCCUAGUGUAGCGGUGAAAUGCGUAGAUAUUAGGAGGAACACCAGUGGCGAAGGCGACUUUCUGGACGAUAACUGACGUUGAGGCACGAAAGUGUGGGGAGCAAACAGGAUUAGAUACCCUGGUAGUCCACACUGUAAACGAUGGAUACUAGGUGUAGGGUGUAUUAAACAUUCUGUGCCGCCG